rnacentral:rRNA from 1 species
GAGACCGGCGCACGGGUGCGUAACGCGUAUGCAAUCUACCUUUUACAGAGGGAUAGCCCAGAGAAAUUUGGAUUAAUACCUCAUAGUAUUAUAGAAUGGCAUCAUUUUAUAAUUAAAGUCACAACGGUAAAAGAUGAGCAUGCGUCCCAUUAGCUAGUUGGUAAGGUAACGGCUUACCAAGGCUACGAUGGGUAGGGGUCCUGAGAGGGAGAUCCCCCACACUGGUACUGAGACACGGACCAGACUCCUACGGGAGGCAGCAGUGAGGAAUAUUGGACAAUGGGCGCAAGCCUGAUCCAGCCAUGCCGCGUGCAGGAUGACGGUCCUAUGGAUUGUAAACUGCUUUUAUACGAGAAGAAACACUCCGACGUGUCGGAGCUUGACGGUAUCGUAAGAAUAAGGAUCGGCUAACUCCGUGCCAGCAGCCGCGGUAAUACGGAGGAUCCAAGCGUUAUCCGGAAUCAUUGGGUUUAAAGGGUCCGUAGGCGGUUUAAUAAGUCAGUGGUGAAAGCCCAUCGCUCAACGGUGGAACGGCCAUUGAUACUGUUAAACUUGAAUUAUUAGGAAGUAACUAGAAUAUGUAGUGUAGCGGUGAAAUGCUUAGAGAUUACAUGGAAUACCAAUUGCGAAGGCAGGUUACUACUAAUGGAUUGACGCUGAUGGACGAAAGCGUGGGUAGCGAACAGGAUUAGAUACCCUGGUAGUCCACGCCGUAAACGAUGGAUACUAGCUGUUGGAAGCAAUUUCAGUGGCUAAGCGAAAGUGAUAAGUAUCCCACCUGGGGAGUACGUUCGCAAGAAUGAAACUCAAAGGAAUUGACGGGG